GAAUACCGGAGGCGAAGGCGGGUAGCUGGGCAGACACUGACACUCAUCACCGAAAGCGUGGGGAUCAAACAGGAUUAGAUACCCUGGUAGUCCACGCCGUAAACGAUGGAUACUUGUUGUUGGAGGUAUUGACCCCUUCAGUGACGAAGCUAACGCGUUAAGUAUCCCGCCUGGGGAGUACGGUCGCAAGAUUAAAACUCAAAGGAAUUGACGGGGACCCGCACAAGCAGCGGAGCGUGUGGUUUAAUUCGAUGCAACGCGAAGAACCUUACCAGGGUUUGACAUGCAACUGCACCGCCCGUAAUGGGGCGUCCCUUCGGGGCGGUUGCACAGGUGCUGCAUGGCUGUCGUCAGCUCGUGUCGUGAGAUGUUGGGUUCAGUCCCGCAACGAGCGCAACCCCUGCCGCUAGUUGAAUGAUCUAGCGGGACCGCCGCGAUCAACGCGGAGGAAGGCGGGGAUGACGUCAAGUCAGCACGGCCCUUACGUCCUGGGCAACACACACGCUACAAUGGUCGGUACAACGGGCCGCCAACCCGCGAGGGGGAGCCAAUCCCAUCAAAACCGGCCUCAGUUCAGAUUGCAGGCUGCAACCCGCCUGCAUGAAGGAGGAGUUGCUAGUAACCGUGGGUCAGCACACUACGGUGAAUACGUUCCCGGGUCUUGUACACACCGCCCGU
rnacentral:rRNA from 1 species